ACAGAUGCUGGCUGUACUCGUGAGAUGGGUUCGGAAUGGAAGAACCUGAGUUAUGAAAUCCUGUUUGUUUUGAUGUCAGACUCAGCACCUUCUUCACUGCCCGCUCGUAUUAAAAAGUCCUGCCAUUUCUUGCACAGUCAGAGCUCAACGAAGGUGCAUCCUGUUGCAGUUCCUGAAAUCGAGGAAAGCAUUAAUGACUCCAGCAUUGUCACCAUAGGAUUUAAAACGGUGCAAGUAUGAAGGAGGAAGCAUUACUCAAUACAAGGUGAUCAAAGGCAGUAGUGCCGGUGACAGUAAACAUCAUGGACAUAUUUAUAUACCGAAGGCCAGAAAUGUUUGCAGUGCUUUUAUUUCUUUGGGCCUACGAGUACACCACCUCUGAUCAUUCAGCAAUAACCCUAGAGUUUUUUUAUCAGAAGACGGGAAAAGAAACCCUUGUACGAGCUACAACACCUCUGCUCAUUUGGCAAUGACCCUGAGUUUUCUCCUGAAGAUGGAAAAAGAAACCCACAAGAAAUUCUGUCAGAGGACAUCAUCCCUCCCCUGUGGCUACAUUUAAGAAGGCGGGGACUGUCGAAGAUGAAGGAAGCAGGGUUACCAAAGAAAACGUCAAGUUGUGACAAUUUGGCGAGUAUAAAAUGGAUGUUUUUGUGCAACAUAUUAUUGGAAAAGUAUA